CUCAGGACGAACGCUGGCGGCGUGCGUAAUACAUGCAAGUCGUACGCUUUUUCUUUCACCGGAGCUUGCUCCACCGAAAGAAAAGGAGUGGCGAACGGGUGAGUAACACGUGGGUAACCUGCCCAUCAGAAGGGGAUAACACUUGGAAACAGGUGCUAAUACCGUAUAACAAUCGAAACCGCAUGGUUUUGAUUUGAAAGGCGCUUUCGGGUGUCGCUGAUGGAUGGACCCGCGGUGCAUUAGCUAGUUGGUGAGGUAACGGCUCACCAAGGCCACGAUGCAUAGCCGACCUGAGAGGGUGAUCGGCCACAUUGGGACUGAGACACGGCCCAAACUCCUACGGGAGGCAGCAGUAGGGAAUCUUCGGCAAUGGACGAAAGUCUGACCGAGCAACGCCGCGUGAGUGAAGAAGGUUUUCGGAUCGUAAAACUCUGUUGUUAGAGAAGAACAAGGAUGAGAGUAACUGUUCAUCCCUUGACGGUAUCUAACCAGAAAGCCACGGCUAACUACGUGCCAGCAGCCGCGGUAAUACGUAGGUGGCAAGCGUUGUCCGGAUUUAUUGGGCGUAAAGCGAGCGCAGGCGGUUUCUUAAGUCUGAUGUGAAAGCCCCCGGCUCAACCGGGGAGGGUCAUUGGAAACUGGGAGACUUGAGUGCAGAAGAGGAGAGUGGAAUUCCAUGUGUAGCGGUGAAAUGCGUAGAUAUAUGGAGGAACACCAGUGGCGAAGGCGACUCUCUGGUCUGUAACUGACGCUGAGGCUCGAAAGCGUGGGGAGCAAACAGGAUUAGAUACCCUG
rnacentral:rRNA from 1 species